rnacentral:rRNA from 1 species
GAGCCUUGAUGUGUAGGAUAGGUGGGAGGCUUUGAAGUGUGGACGCCAGUCUGCAUGGAGCCGGCCUUGAAAUACCACCCUUUAAUGUUUGAUGUUCUAACGUGGACCCGUGAUCCGGGUUGCGGACAGUGUCUGGUGGGUAGUUUGACUGGGGCGGUCUCCUCCUAAAGAGUAACGGAGGAGCACGAAGGUUGGCUAAUCCUGGUCGGACAUCAGGAGGUUAGUGCAAUGGCAUAAGCCAGCUUGACUGCGAGCGUGACGGCGCGAGCAGGUGCGAAAGCAGGUCAUAGUGAUCCGGUGGUUCUGAAUGGAAGGGCCAUCGCUCAACGGAUAAAAGGUACUCCGGGGAUAACAGGCUGAUACCGCCCAAGAGUUCAUAUCGACGGCGGUGUUUGGCACCUCGAUGUCGGCUCAUCACAUCCUGGGGCUGAAGUAGGUCCCAAGGGUAUGGCUGUUCGCCAUUUAAAGUGGUACGCGAGCUGGGUUUAGAACGUCGUGAGACAGUUCGGUCCCUAUCUGCCGUGGGCGCUGGAGAACUGAGGGGGGCUGCUCCUAGUACGAGAGGACCGGAGUGGACGCAUCACUGGUGUUCGGGUUGUCAUGCCAAUGGCACUGCCCGGUAGCUAAAUGCGGAAGAGAUAAGUGCUGAAAGCAUCUAAGCACGAAACUUGCCCCGAGAUGAGUUC